rnacentral:rRNA from 1 species
AGAUUAAGCCAUGCAUGUCUAUGCACAAGCCAAAACAAGGUGAGCCGCGAAUUGCUCAUUACAACAGCCAUUGUUUACUGGAUCUCUACUUGGAUAACUGUGGUAAUUCUAGAGCUAAUACACGCACCAAGCUCUGACCGUAAGGGAUGAGCGCAUUUAUUAGAACAAAACCAAUCAGGCUUUGUUGGUGGAUCUGAAUAACUCAGCUGAUCGCACGGUCUCGCACCGGCGACGCAUCUUCCUCUGCCUUAUCAACUUUUGAUGGUAGUUUAUGCGACUACCAUGGUUGUAACGGGUAACGGAGAAUAAGGGUUCGACUCCGGAGAGGGAGCCUGAGAAACGGCUACCACAUCCAAGGAAG